GUCAAUCACCCAUACUCUAAAGAGUAAUGGGCUUGCAAAAGUCCAUAAUUGACUAGCCUAAGCCUUAACGGGCUACGUUAUGUAAGAAUAGCGAAAUGAUACUUAUCAACCGUAAAUAGUUACCGGUGAGUAUACAGCCUAGCUCACUGCUCUAAG
rnacentral:sRNA from 17 species